CGUGUGCAUGUGCGUGUGUGUAUGUGUGUGUGUACUCUAUGUUCCCGCGGUGAUGAAAUCAGCGGUGCGUUUGUGCAACGACCGGGCUGAAAUAACACCACAGCUAAAGCACCGCGUUACGGACUCCAGUGAGCGUGAGAUGCGUAUUCUGUGCCCAUCGAGCGAGCACAUGCACCCGCAGUCCUGCUACAAUCUCGCUGAGCGAAAGUGAACCCGGAUUCAGGUUCAAAUUCCUUUCAGGGCACUGCCCGAGAGCAAGUAAUUGGCCCACAACAUCGCCUCUGUCUCUGUGUGAACGGAUAAGCUAUGCAUGGCGGUGGAUGUUUCCAUGUCUGGAUCACCAUUGACACUGGUCUUAAUUUUCAACCGAGUUAACGUGUUAACACGCGAAGCAGUGAUGGUCAAUGGCAGCAACUGGCCACAAGAGGGAGCCUUUGAAGAAAUGCAUUCAAUGAUUGGCGUCAGGCCGCAGUCCUCAGACUGAUAACAGGACCUGAAGACAGGCAGUGAAUCAGUUUAUUGAGCCUGAACAUCCUGGUGGGCACUCGGGAGGCAGACGAGGGAUUGGUUGUGUCUAUCCCACAACUUGACCCACAGCUUAUUAUGACAUCACACGAAUGUAGAGUGGUAUAUUUUGCUCUUCAUCUUUUCCAUCCAUAACCAGAAUGAAGGUAAUGCAGCUGGAUUUUGGAUUUGGUUUUGUGUUUCCAAAAAUCCAAGGUUGAGCAUAAUUUGGGCUGUAUUACUGCGCAAGAGCUUGUGUCAUAUCCUCAGUAGUUUAUGUAAUGGUAUCCCAAACAACCCUCACACAAAAGAACCUUGGCCU